rnacentral:lncRNA from 1 species
UUUUUUUCUUUGUUUAAGUUUUAGUUUUUAUUCAUUUUUCCUUUCUCAUGUUUUAUAUUUUUCUUUCCGUUUUUUACUCUAUAUUAAUACUAGAAAGAGUUUUGAUAAAUAUGAGACUUGUCUCAUAAAUACUCUGCAAUAUUAUGGGGAUGUCCACAAAGUUUGAGGUCAACUGGAAAAUGUCUAGCCUUUUGUUAAUUUUGAAAAGGCCGUAUUUGGUGUUGUUAACCCCGUUUUAAAUAGGUUAGGAUCAUCUAAUUACUUCUAAAGAUCUUUCUUCUUAUAUGAAAAUUACUUAGUGAUUAAUUGUAAUGCAAUGAACAUUUUUAAUUCACUGUUUUUAUGAAAUUAUAAUUUGACUUGUUUUUUGAAUUUAAAUUUGAUCUCAAUUUGAAACAAGUGAGGUUUAGAAAAGUUUAAUUAUAAUGACAUGGCAUGAUUAGCAAGGGUUAACUAUAGCUUAACUAUGAGGGUGUCACAUAAAUAUCCUCUUCUAAUUCUCCAUGUAAAAAUGCAGUUUUAACAUCCAAUUGUUCAAGCUCAAGAUCAUGCAUGGCAACAAUACUGAGUAAAGUGUGAAUAGAGCUAUGCUUCACAACAGGAGAAAAGACUUAGUUAUAGUCAAUACCUAGAAUCUGAUUGUAACCUUUAGCAACUAACCUUACUUUAUAUCUCGUCUCAUCAUUAGGAGAAACACCUUCUUUCCUCUUGAAAACCCACUUGCAACGAAUAGGUCUCUUCUCUCUAGGUAAUCUUACUAGAUCCCAAGUGCCAUUCUUUUCAAGUGAUUCCAUCUCAUCAUGCAUAGCAUUCAUCCACUUAUUACUAUCACCAGAAAUAAUAGCCUCGGAAUAUGAAGAAGGCUCAGCAUUACCUUCAAUUUCUUCUGCAACAGAUAAAGCAAAAGAAACAAUAUUGCACUCUUCAAUUAACCUGUCAGGUUUAUUAAUACCCCAUCUAACUAUGUCACGUGCAAGAUUCCAACUGGGUGGAACAAUAGGCUGAUUUGGAGUGGGAGUGACAUGAUCAUCAUUAACGACGGGUUCAUCAUGUGCAUCAACAAUUUCAUUACGAGAUGUAUCACCUGAAUCAAUAACAUGCUCCACCUAAACAGUAGGCUCCUAAACAAUAGGUUGUUGUUCACUCUCAACGGGAACAUUAGUAGAUGAAACAUCAUGUAACAUAGAAGAUUCAUUAAAGAUAACAUUUCUGCUAAUAAGAACCUUCUGGGUUCCAGGAUUCCAUAAUUUAAAACCUUUAACACCAGACUUAUAACUAAGAAAUAUGCACUUAACAGCCCUAGGCUCCAAUUUUCCAUUAUCAACAUGAGCAUAAGCAGUGCAACCAAAAACUCUCAACUGUGAAUAAUCAGCAGGUGAACCAGACCAUACCUCAAUUGGAGUUUUCUUAUUAAGAGCAAUAGAUGGUGAACGAUUAAUGAGAUAACAAGCAGUGGAAGCGGCCUCAGCCCAAAAACGCUUAUGCAAACCUGCAUUGGACAACAUGCAGUGGGCUUUGGAAAUAAUGGUCCUGUUCAUGCGCUCAGCAACACCGUUUUGUUGAGGAGUAUAAGGAACGGUGUAAUGUCUGACAAUGCCUUCAGACUUGCAAUAAUUAUUAAAUUGCUUAGAAUAGAAUUCCAUACCAUUAUCAGUGUGAAGUAUUUUUAUCUUCUUUUCAGUUUGUCUCUCAAUCAUAAUCUUCCACUCCUUAAAAGCUUAGAAUGCUUCAUAUUUAUGCUUCAAGAAAUAAGGCCAUACUUUUCUUGAAUAAUCAUCAAUAAUAGUCAGCAUGUAACUAGCACCACCUAGUGACUUUCUGCGAGAUGGUCCCCAUAAAUCAGAAUGAACAUAAUCAAGAAUACCUUCAGUUGUAUGAACCGAAGUAUUGAACUUCACCCUCUUGUGUUUGCCGAAGAUAAAAUGCUCACAAAAUUUCAAUUUACCAGGUUCAUAUCCAUCAAGAAGACCUCCCUUAUUUAACUCUGCUAAAUCAAGUUCACUCAUAUGUCCAAGUCGCAUAUGCCAAAGGUUAGCAGCAUCACAAUCAGAAUUCUUUGAAAUAACUGGAGUAGCGUUACCUGAAACGGUAGAACCUCGUAGGUAAUAAAGACCAUUGGUCGAACUUAAAUCACCUUUCAUCACAAUAAGGGAACCUUUGGUGACUUUCAAAACACUAUCUCCACCUGAAUACUUGUACCCCUUUGCAUCAAGGGCACUCAUAGAAAUAAGAUUUCUCUUCAUCUUCGGAAUAUACCGAACAUCUGUCAAAGUUCUAAUUAUGCCAUCAAACAUCUUGAUUUGAAUAGAACCUAUGCCUUCAAUCUUGCAUGGUGAAUUAUCAAAACCCAAAACGGAACCAGCAGGAGUUGUGGAAUCAAAAGUAUUAAACCAAUCUCUAUGUGGACACAUAUGAAAAGUGCAUGCAGUGUCAAGUACCCACUCAUCAUUGGUCUCAGCACAUCCAGCAAUAACAACAAGAGCAUCAUCGGAACUAUCAUCAUGAUCAAUGUUAGCAGAAUUUUCACCUUGUUUGUUACCUUUCCUCUUUUCCUUGUUCUGUAACUUGAAACACUCAGAGAUGUCAUGCUCGUCUCUCUUGCAAUACCUGCAAUACUUCUUGUCUCUGGAUUGCGACCGGCCCCUGUAGCCGUUCUUACUUUUGCCUCUAUUUCCAUUAUGUGAGUUCUUCUCCUUUGUCUUGCCACGAAUAGAUAAUCCCUCGGCUUGGGAUGAACUUGAACCAUCAUGAGGCACCAUUAGUUUCAUCUUCUCCUUAGAGUUCAAAGCUUCAUAAACUUCAUUAAGUGUGAGAGUAUCACGACUGUAUAAUAUGGUGUCUCUAAAAUUGGUAUAAGAACUUGGCAGUGAACAAAGUAACAUUAAAGCAGUAUCUUCAUCUUCAUACUUAACCUCCAUUGCAGCUAGAUCAGAUAUGAUCUCUUUAAAUUCUGAAAUGUGAUUCAAAACAUUAGAUCCCUCGGGUAACCUGUGCAGGAAUAAUUUUUGCUUCAGAUGCAUCUUGCUGGUGAGAUCUUUAGUCAUGCAAAUCCCUUCCAGCUUUAACCAUAAAGCGACGACAGUUUUCUCGCUCAAAACUUCCUGCAAAAUAUUAUUAUGCAAAUGGAGUUGAAUUUGUGACAAAGCCUUACAAUCAAUUCUUUUCUCCUCAGCAGUCCAGUCCUCAAUUCGGUUCUUCCCAAAACUAUCCGGUGCUACAUCAUAGUCGGCCUGUGCCAACAACGCCCGCAUCUUGACUUGCCAAAGGGUAAACCUUGUGUCACGAUCCAGCAGCGGAAAAUCAUACUUCAUGGAUGCCAUGAGUCAAACAAAUCUGUGCACAAAGUAGUACAAGUCGGAGUAGAAUAAUUCUUGACAGAAUUUAAUAAGCGAGCAAAGAACCGGAAUAAAACAGAUAGCACCUGGUAGAUCAUGGACGUAGAUGUAGCAACCGAAUAGCAAACAAAAAACUGAACGUGUGACGAGUACUAGUUGAAGUAGUACUGCCAAUAAUUUUCUUUGGUCUUCACGUGAGGAUGUGACGGCAGGUGUAGCGGCCGAUCCAAAUGAUCGAGUAGUAUAAUCGAUUAGAAAACAACGCCCCUGCCGAUCUAAUCAGCAAAAGAACUUGCGGCCACGGAGGUGACUCAGCGUUUUAACGCGGCGGUGCAGCGGAAGUUUGCCUCGGCCUCGGGACUUGAUCCUUGUACCGGUCGGACACGUCUUUGACUUGCAGCGGCACAGUAGUGGAAAUCAAUAGGCUGUCGGUCUCGGCGGAUUGCAGGAUGCAGCGGCGCGCACAGAACGCCAACCCUAACUCUUGUCUCUAAUCUUGUAUAUGUAACCUCAGCUCUGUAUACCACUUGUUAGAUAAUAACGAGAAAUAAACGAGAUAAAGAGACACAGAUUUUUACGUGGAAACCCUUGCGGGAGAAAACCACAGACGCACGAAGGUGCAAUCACUAUGAGGAGGAGUAUUACAAGCACGAGACGACGGGCCAUCUGAGGUGCGACUACAUGGGGUAUAUAAGAGGGCAAUACAUGAGAGUCCUUGGAGGACAAGUAAACCAGUUGUACUCGUACGCGUCGACGUCAAUGCAAAGGCCCACACCGGUUGUACUACGUCUAGUCCAACACGGUAUAAUUUGGAUAACAAUUUAACAUCCUUGUUGUGAGUUACCUCGUUCCUGUUGUGCCAUACCCGCCACAGCGUCAUCAGUAGCAUGCAUCGCUCAAUAUCAGUAAGUGGCUGCAGCGCCUCAAGUAACCACUCAGUGCCUGUAUUUUUCAGUUCUUCCAGCUUCGGCAAACACCAUACAGUAGACAUACAUCUCCACAUUUGCACCGCCAAAGGGCAUCUACAUAAAGCAUGGAAGGAAUCCUCCUCCCCGCGCCCGCAGAUCGGGCAAGUUCCUAAGAGAUCUAAAGUCCGUUUAUGUUUGUUUUGCCAAGUGGGGAGAGAAUUAAGCGCAACACGCCAAGCGAAGUUCUUCACAGUAGGCGGUACUGCUGGGGAACGUAGUAAUUUCAAAAAGAAAUCCUACGCACAUGCAAGAUCAUGGUGAUGCAUAGCAACGAGAGGGGAGAGUUUUGUCUAUGUACCCUCGUAGACCGAAGCGGAAGCGUUGACGCAACAUAGAGGAAGUAGUUUGACGUCUUCCCGGUUCAACCGAUCCAAGCACCGUUACUCCGGCACCUCCGAGUUCUUGGCACACGUUCAGCUCGAUGACGCUCCCCGGGCUCCGAUCCAGCAAAUCUUCGGGGAGGAGUUCCGUCAGCACGACGGCGUGGUGACAAUCUUGAUGUUCAACCGUCACAGGGCUUCGCCUAAGCACCACUACAAUAUGACCGAGGUGGAAUAUGGUGGAGGGGGGCACCGCACACGGCUAAGGAACGAUCACGAAGAUCAACUUGUGUGUCUAUGGGGUGCCCCCUGCCCCCGUAUAUAAAGGAGUGGAGGAGGGGAGGGACGGCCCUCUCUAUGGCGCGCCCUGGGGAGUUCUACUCCCACCGGGAGUAGGAUUCCCCCUUUCCUAGUCCAACUAGGAGUCCUUCCAUGUAGUAGGAGUAGGAGACAAGGAAGGGGAAGAGGGAAGAGAAGGAAGGAGGGGGCGCAGCCUCUCCCCCUAGUCCAAUUCGGACUAGGCCUUGGGGGCGCGCGGCCUGCCUCUCCCUCUCCCCUAAAGCCCAAUAAGGCCCAUAUACUUCUUCCGUAUUCCCGUAACUCCCCGGUACUCUGAAAAAUACCCGAACCACUCGGAACCUUUCCGAUGUCCGAAUAUAGUCGUCCAAUAUACCGAUCUUUACGUCUCGACCAUUUCGAGACUCCUCGUCAUGUCCCCGAUCUCAUCCGGAACUCCGAACUCCUUCGGUACAUCAAAACUCAUAAACUCAUAAUAUAACUGUCAUCGAAACCUUAAGCGUGCGGACCGUACGGGUUCGAGAACAAUGUAGAUAUGACCGAGACACGUCUCCGGUCAAUAACCAAUAGCGGAACCUGGAUGCUCAUAUUGGCUCCCACAUAUUCUAUGAAGAUCUUUAUCGGUCAGACCGCAUAACAACAUACGUUGUUCCCUUUGUCAUCGGUAUGUUACUUGCCCGAGACUCGAUCGUCGGUAUCUCAAUACCUAGUUCAAUAUCGUUACCGGCAAGUCUCUUUACUCGUUUCGUAAUACAUCAUCUCGCAACUAACUCAUUAGUUGUAAUGCUUGCAAGGCUUAUGUGAUGUGCAUUACCGAGAGGGCCCAGAGAUACCUCUCCGACAAUCUGAGUGACAAAUCCUAAUCUCGAAAUACGCCAACCCAACAUUUACCUUUGGAGACACAUGUAGAGCUCCUUUAUAAUCACCUAGUUACGUUGUGACGUUUGGUAGCACAUAAAGUGGUCCUCCGGCAAACGGGAGUUGCAUAAUCUCAUAGUCAUAGGAACACGUAUAAGUCAUGAAGAAAGCAAUAGCAACAUACUAAACGAUCGGGUGCUAAGCUAAUGGAAUGGGUCAUGUCAAUCACAUCAUUCUCCUAAUGAUGUGAUCCCGUUAAUCAAAUAACAACUCUUUGUCUAUGGUUAGGAAACAUAACCAUCUGUGAUUAACGAGCUAGUCUAGUAGAGGCAUACUAGUGACACACUGUUUGUCUAUGUAUUCACACAUGUAUUAUGUUUCCGGUUAAUACAAUUCUAGCAUGAAUAAUAAACAUUUAUCAUGAAAUAAGGAAAUAAUAAUAACUUUAUUAUUGCCUCUAGGGCAUAUUUCCUUCAAUCUCCCACUUGCACUAGAGUCAAUAAUCUAGUUCACAUUGCUAUAUGAUUUAACACCAAUAGUUCACAUCAUUAUGUGACCAACACUCAAAGGGUUUACUAGAGUCAAUAAUCUAGUUCACAUCGCUAUGUGAUUAACACCCAAAGCGUACUAAGGUGUGAUUAUGUUUUGCCUGUGAGAGAAGUUUAAUCAACGGGUCUGCCAUAUUCAGAUCCGUAUGUAUUUUGCAAAUUUCUAUGUCAACAAUGCUCUGCAUGGAGCUACUCUAGCUAAUUGCUCCCACUUUCAAUAUGCAUCCAGAUUGAGACUUAGAAUCAUCUGGAUCAGUGUCAAAGUUUGCAUCGACGUAACCCUUUACGACGAACCUUUUGUCACCUCCAUAAUCAAGAAACAUAUCCUUAUUCCACUAAGGAUAAUUUUGACCGCUGUCCAGUGAUCUACUUCCUAGAUCACUAUUGUAUUCCCUCGCUUAACACAGUGUAGGGUAUACAACAGAUCUGGUACACAGCAUGGCAUACUUUAUAGAAUCUAUGGCUGAGGCAUAGGGAAUGACUUUCAUUCUCUUUCUAUCUUCUGUCGUGGUCGGGCUUUGAGUCUUACUCAAUUUCACACCUUGCAACACAGGCAAGAACUCUUUCUUUGACUGUUCCAUUUUGAACUACUUCAAAAUCUUGUCAAGGUAUGUACUCAUUGAAAAAACUUAUCAAGCGGCUUGAUCUAUCUCUAUAGAUCUUGAUGCUCAAUAUGUAAGCAGCUUUACCGAGGUCUUUCUUUGAAAAACUCCUUUCAAAUAUUCCUUUAUGCUUUCCAGAAAAUUAUACAUUAUUUCCGAUCAACAAUAUGUCGUUCACAUAUACUUAUCAAAAAUGUUGUAGUGCUCCCACUCACUUUCUUUUAAAUACAGGCUUCACCGCAAGUCUGUAUAAAACUAUAUGCUUUGAUCAACUUAUCAAAGCGUAUAUUCCAACUCCGAGAUUCUUGCACCAGUCCAUAGAUGGAUCGCUGGAGCUUGCAUAUUUAGUUAACACCAUUAGGAUCGACAAAACCUUCUAGUUGCAUCAUAUACAACUCUUCUUUAGUAGAUCCAUUAAGGAAUGCAGUUUUGUUUAUCCAUUUGCCAGAUUUCAUAAAAUGCGGCAAUUGCUAACAUGAUUCGGACAGACUUAAGCAUAGAUACGAGUGAGAAAAUCUCAUCGUAGUCAACACCUUGAACUUGUCGAAAACCUUUUGCGACAAUUCUAGCUUUGUAGAUAGUAACACUACUAUCAGCGUCCGUCUUCCUCUUGAAGAUCCAUUUAUUUUCUAUGGCUUUCCGAUCAUCGGGCAAAUCCAUCAAAGUCCAUACUUUGUUCUCAUACAAGGAUCAUAUCUCAGAUUUCAUGGCCUCAAACCAUUUCGCGGAAUCUGGGCGCAUCAUCGCUUCCUCAUAGUUCGCAAGUUCGUCAUGGUCUAGUAACAAGACUUCCAGAACAGGAUUACCGUACCACUCUGGUGCGGAUCUCACUCUGGUUUACCUACGAGAUUCGAUAGUAACUUGAUCUGAAGUUACAUGAUCAUCAUCAUUAGCUUCCUCACUAAUUGGUGUAGUAGUCACAAGAACAGAUUUUUGUGAUGAACUACUUUCCAAUAAGGGAGCAGGUACAGUUACCUCAUCAAGUUCUACUUUCCUCCCACUCACUUCUUUCGAGAGAAACUCCUUCUCUAGAAAAACUCCGAAUUUAGCAACAAAAGUCUUGCCUUCGGAUUUGUGAUAGAAGGUGUACCCAAUAGUCUCCUUUGGGUAUCCUAUGAAGACAUAUUUCUUCGAUUUGGGUUUGAGCUUAUUAGGAUGAAACUUUUUCAUAUAAGCAUCACAACCCCAAACUUUAAGAAACGACAACUUUGGUUUCUUGCCAAACCACAGUUCAGAUUGUGUCGUCUCAACGGACUUAGAUGGUGCCCUAUUUAACAUGAAUGCAGCUGUCUCUAAUGCAUAACCCCAAAACGAUAGUGGUAGAUCGGUAAGAGACAUCAUAGAUCGCACCAUAUCUAAUAAAGUACGAUUAUGACGUUCGGACACACCAUUUUGCUGUGGUGUUCCAGGUGGCGUUAGUAGUGAAACUAUUUCACAUUGUUUUUAACUGAAGGCCAAACUCGUAACUCAAAUAUUUUACUUCUGCGAUCAUAUCGUAGAAACUUUCAUUUUUGUUACGAUGAUUCUCCACUUCACUCUGAAAUUCUUUGAAUUUUUCAACUGUUUCAGACUUGUGUUUCAUUAAGUAGAUAUACCCAUAUCUGCUCAAAUCAUUUGUGAAGAUCAGAAAAUAAUGAUACCUACCACGAGCCUUAAUAUUCAUCGGACCACAUACAUCAGUAUGUAUGAUUUCCAACAAAUCUGUCGCUCGCUCCAUUGUUCCGAAGAACGGAGUCUUAGUAAUCUUGCCCAUGAGGCAUGGUUCGCAAGCACCAAGUGAUUCAUAAUCAAGUGAUUCCAAAAACCCAUCAACAUGGAGUUUCUUCAUGCGCUUUACACCAAUAUGACCUAAACGGCAGUGCCACAAAUAAGUUGCACUAUCAUUAUUAACUUUGCAUCUUUUGGUUUCAAUAUUAUGAAUAUGUGUAUCACUACGAUCGAGAUCCAAUGAACUAUUUUCAUUGGGUGUGUAACCAUAUAAGGUUUUAUUCAUGUAAACAGAACAACAAUUUAUUCUCUUACUUAAAUGAAUAACUGUAUUACAAUAAACAUGAUCAAAUCAUAUUCAUGCUCAACGCAAACACCAAAUAACACUUAUUUAGGUUCAACACUAAUCCCGAAAGUAUAGGGAGUGUGCGAUGAUGAUCAUAUCAAUCUUGGAACCACUUCCAACACACAUCAUCACUUCACCCUUAACUAGUCUCUGUUUAUUCUGCAACUCCCGUUUCGAGUUACUACUCUUAGCAACUGAACUAGUAUCAAAUACUGAGGGGUUGCUAUAAACACUAGUAAAGUACACAUCAAUAACAUGUAUAUCAAAUAUACUUAUGUUCAGUUUUCCAUCCUUCUUAUCCGCCAAUCACUUGGGGUAGUUCCGCUUCCAGUGACCAGUCCCUUUGCAGUAGAAGCACUUAGUCUCAGGCUUAGGACCAGACUUGGGCUUCUUCACUUGAGCAGCAACUUGCUUGCUGUUUUUCUUGAAGUUCCCCUUUUUUUCUUUGCCCUUUUCUUGAAACUAGUGAUCUUGUCAACCAUCAACACUUGAUGCUCUUUCUUGAUUUCUACCUUCAUCGAUUUCAUCAUCAUGAAAAGCUCGUGAUUUGUUUUCGUCAUCCCUUGCAUACUAUAGUUCGUCACGAAGUUCUACUAACUUGGUGAUGGUGACUAGAGAAUUAUGUCAAUCACUAUCUUAUCUGGAAGAUUAACUCCCACUUGAUUCAAGCGAUUGUAGUACCCAGACAAUCUGAGCACAUGCUCACUAGUUGAGCGAUUCUCCUCCAUCUUUUAGCUAUAGAACUUGUUGGAGACUUCAUAUCUCUCAACUCAGGUAUUUGCUUGAAAUAUUAACUUCAACUCCUGGAACAUCUCAUAUGGUCCAUGACGUUCAAAACGUCUUUGAAGUCCUGAUUCUAAGCCGUUAAGCAUGGUGCACUAAACUAUCAAGUAGUCAUCAUAUUUAGCUAGCUAAACAUUCAUAACGUCUACAUCUGCUCCUGCAAUAGGUCUGUCACCUAGCGGUGCAUCAAGGACAUAAUUCCUCUGUGCAGCAAUGAGGAUAAACCUCAGAUCACGGAUCUAAUCCCAUCAUUGCUACUAACAUCUUUCAACACAAUUUUCUCUAGGAACAUAUCAAAAUAAACACAUGGAAGCAACAACGUGAGCUAUUGAUCUACAACAUGAUUUGCAAAAUACUACCAGGACUAAGUUCAUGAUAAAUUUAAGUUCAAUUAAUCAUAUUACUUAAGAACUUCCACUUAGACAGACAUCUCUCUAAUCAUCUAAGUGAUCACGUGAUCCAAAUCAACUAAACCAUAACCGAUCAUCACGUGAAAUGGAGUAGUUUUCAAUAGUGAACAUCGCUAUGUUGAUCAUAUCUACUAUAUGAUUCACGCUCGACCUUUCGGUCUCAGUGUUCCGAGACCAUAUCUGCAUAUGCUAGGCUCGUCAAGUUUAACCUGAGUAUUCUGCGUGUGCAAAACUGGCUUGCACCCGUUGUAGAUGGACGUAGAGCUUAUCACACCCGAUCAUCUCGUGGUGUCUGGGCACGACGAACUUUGGCAAUGGUGCAUACUCAGGGAGAACACUUUUUAUCUUGAAAUUUAGUGAGAGAUCAUCUUAUAAUGCUACCGUCAAACUAAGCAAAAUAAGAUGUAUAAAAGAUAAACAUCAUAUGCAAUGAAAAUAUGUGACAUGAUAUGGCCAUCAUCAUCUUGCGCCUUUGAUUUCCAUCUCCAAAGUACUGUCAUGAUCUCUAUCGUCACUCGCAUGACACCAUGAUCUCCAUCAUCUUGAUCUAUAUCAAUGUGUCGUCAUGUGGUCGUCUCUCCAACAAUUGCUCUUGCAACUAUUGCUAUCGCAUAGCGAUAAAGUAAAGCAAUUAUUGGGCGCUUGCAUCUUAUGCAAUAGAGAGACAACCAUAAGGAUUUUGCCAGUUGCCGAUAACUUCAACAAAACAUGAUCAUCUCAUACAACAACUUAUAUUUCAUCACGUCUUGACCAUAUCACAUCACAACUUGCCCUGCAAAAACAAGUUAGACGUCCUCUACUUUGUUUGUUGCAAGUUUUACGUGGCUGCUACGGGCUUAAGCAAGAACCAAUCUUACCUACGCAUCAAACCACAACGAUAGUUUGUCAAGUUGGUGCUGUUUUAACCUUCACAAGGACCGGGCAUAGCCACACUCGGUUCAACUAAAGUUGUAGAAACUGACACCCGCCAGCCACCUGUGUGCAAAGCACGGCAGUAGAACCAGUUUCACGUAAGCGUACGCGUAAUGUCGGUCCGGGCCGCUUCAUCCAACAAUACCGCCGAACCAAAGUAUGACAUGCUGGUAAGCAGUAUGACUUAUAUCGCCCACAACUCACGUGUGUUCUACUCGUGCAUAUAACAUCAAACCAUAAAAACUAGGAUCGGAUGCCACUGUUGGGGAACGUAGUAAUUUCAAAAAAAAUUCCUAUGCACACGCAAGAUCAUGGUGAUGCAUAUCAACGAGAGGGGAGAGUGUUGUCUACGUACCCUCGUAGACCGAAGAGGAAGCAUUGACGCAACGUAGAGGAAGUAGUCGUACGUCUUCCCGGUUCAACCGAUCCAAGCACCGUUACUCCGGCACCUCCGAGUUCUUGGCACACGUUCAGCUCGAUGACGCUCCCCGGGCUCCGAUCCAGCAAAGCUUCAGGGAGGAGUUCCGUCAGCACGACGGCGUGGUGACAAUCUUGAUGUUCAACCGUCGUAGGGCUUCGCCUAAGCACCGCUACAAUAUGACCGAGGUGGAAUAUGGUGGAGGGGGGCACCGCACACGGCUAAGGAACGAUCACGAAGAUCAACUUGUGUGUCUAUGGGGUGCCCCCUGCCCCUGUAUAUAAAGGAGUGGAGGAGGGGAGGGCCAGCCCUCUCUAUGGCGCGCCCUGGGGAGUCCUACUCCCACCGGGAGUAGGAUUCCCCCUUUCCUAGUCCAACUAGGAGUCCUUCCAUGUAGUAGGGGUAGGAGACAAGGAAGGGGAAGAGGGAAGAGAAGGAAGGAGGGGGCGCAGCCUCUCCCCCUAGUCCAAUUCGGACUAGGCCUUGGGGGGGCGCGCGGCCUGCCUCUCCCUCUCCCCUAAAGCCCAAUAAGGCCCAUAUACUUCUUCUCCCGUAUUCCCGUAACUCCCCGGUACUCCGAAAAAUACCCGAACCACUCGGAACCUUUCCGAUGUCCAAAUAUAGUCGUCCAAUAUAUCGAUCUGUACGUCUCAACCAUUUUGAGACUCCUCGUCAUGUCCCCGAUCUCAUCCGGGACUCCGAACUCCUUCGGUACAUCAAAACUCAUAAACUCAUAAUAUAACUAUCAUCGAAACCAUAAGCGUGCGGACCCUACGGGUUCGAGAACAAUGUAGACAUGACCGAGACACGUCUUCGGUCAAUAACCAAUAGCGGAACCUGGAUGCUCAUAUUGGCUCCCACAUAUUCUAUGAAGAUCUUUAUCGGUCAGACCGCAUAACAACAUACGUUGUUCCCUUUGUCAUCGGUAUGUUACUUGCCCGAGAUUCGAUCGUUGGUAUCUCAAUACCUAGUUCAAUCUCGUUACCGGCAAGUCUCUUUACUCGUUUCAUAAUACAUCAUCUCGCAACUAACUCAUUAGUUGCAAUGCUUGCAAGGCUUAUGUGAUGUGCAUUACCGAGAGGGCCCAGAGAUACCUCUCCGACAAUCGGAGUGACAAAUCCUAAUCUCGGAAUACGCCAACCCAACAUUUACCUUUGGAGACACCUGUAGAGCUCCUUUAUAAUCACCUAGUUACGUUGUGACGUUUGGUAGCACACAAAGUGUUCCUCCGGCAAACAGGAGUUGCAUAAUCUCAUAGUCAUAGGAACAUGUAUAAGUCAUGAAGAAAGCAAUAGCAACAUACUAAAUGAUCGGGUGCUAAGCUAAUGGAAUGGGUCAUGUCAAUCACAUCAUUCUCCUAAUGAUGUGAUCCCGUUAAUCAAAUAACAACUCUUUAUCUAUGGUUAGGAAACAUAACCAUAUGUGAUUAACGAGCUAGUCUAGUAGAGGCAUACUAGUGACACUCUAUUUGUCUAUGUAUUCACACAUGUAUUAUGUUUCCGGUUAAUACAAUUCUAGCAUGAAUAAUAAACAUUUAUCAUGAAAUAAGGAAAUAAAUAAUAACUUUAUUAUUGCCUCUAGGGCAUAUUUCCUUCGGGUACAAGGCUCUUCCAUAUAAUUCUCCAACAUGUACGGUGGCCGUCCGGAGCACUGCUUGAUGAUUCUUUAGUCAGCCUACAUGUUUGUGAUGCCCUCGAUUCAAUCGUACACUAAUCAUACACGCAAAUGUGUACGAUCAAGAUCAAGGACUCACGGGAAGAUAUCACAACACAACUCUAGACACAAAUUAAAAUAAUACAGGCUUUAUAUUACAAGCCAGGGGCCUCGAGGGCUCGAAUACAUAAGCUCGAAUACACAAGAGUCAGCGGAAGCAACAAUAUCUGAGUACAGACAUAAGUUAGACAAGUGUGCCUUAAGAAGGCUAGCACAAAAGCAACAACGAUCAAAAAGGCAAGGCCUCCUGCCUGGGAGCCUCCUAACUACUCCUGGUCGUCGGCGGUCUUCACGUAGUAGUAGGCAUCCUCUGGGUAGUAGUAGUCAUGAGUGGCGUCGUCUGGCUCCUGGGAUCUGUCAUCUGGUCACAACAAUCGGGUAUGGGGGAAAAAGAAGUAGCAAAGCAACCGUGAGUACUCAUCCAAAGUACUCGCAAGACUUACAUCAGAUCUAAACUAAGUAUGCAUUUGUAUCAAAGGAAUGGGUUGUAUAUGUGGACUGGGCUGCAGAAAUGCCAGAAUAGAGUGAAGACCUAGUCCUAUCGAAGACUAGCAUCUUCUGGAAACCACCAUCUUGCAGCAACAGGAGGGAGUAGAGUAGCAUAAAGUAAAGUAGCAUUAGUGUUAUCAACCUCGGCCAGAGAUCCUUUCUCGACUCCCUGCGAGAAAGCAAUCCCAGAGCCAUACUAUCUAGUUAUCAUCUCAUAUCCAAGUCUCAUCACCAUCCAAUUCUCAUCACAAGUAUCCAGUUCUAGUUGUAUCGAUCGGGAUACAACUCCAAGUGUCCGUUACCGUAGGACAGGCUAUCGAUAGAUGUUUUCUUCCCUGCAGGGGUGCACCAACUUACCCACCAUGCUCGAUUAACUCCGGCCGGACACACUUUCCUGGGUCAUGCCCGGCCUCGGCCAAACAAUACGCCGCAACCCGACCUAGGCUUAAUAGAGAGGACAGCACGCCGGACUAAACCUAUGCCCCCAGGGGUCAUGGGCCAUCUCCCCGGGAACUCCUGCACGUUGCGUACGCGGCCGGUGAGCAGACCUAGCUACCUCCUUCAACAAGGCAGGUGCUUACGCAGUCCAACCUGGCGCGCGCUGCUCAGUCGCUGACGUCUAUUAAGCUUCGGCUGAUGUAUAUGACGCAGAACGCCCAUACUAUGCCCACAUGAUGGUUAGUGCUAUCAGGCCAGAGGCCCCUCGGAUCAAAUAUCCAAAUCAUAGUGGAUUAGGAACGCGCGGUAACAAGCAGAGACUCACGAAAGAUGUGACCCCGUUGCCCUGUCUCGAGGACUUGCGGCAAGGGCUAGGAAUGCUCGGCCACGCCUCGUAAUUAUCUCGCAGGCACCCUCCAGGUCAACCCGUCUCCACAUCACUCGCAAUUAAGCUCGCGCGGGUACCCCUCAGGGUCGACUCGUCUUUAGUAACAUGGCUCAGUGCAAAGUCAUAGUAACCAUAGUAACUGUGAGUCUAACACCAAGGGGAAAACCCGAGGAAUCACCCCCGGUGAAUUCCACUCGAUGUUAUCAUCAAGGUGAACGUAAGAGGAUCCACCCUCGAGGUUCACACUUGAGGGGUUGCACGACAGAGCCGUAACGGAAGCGGUUAAGGAGGAAAUCACCCUCGAUGACCACGACCGUAUAGCUACACUACAGAGAUCUCAUCAGGAGUGAUGUAUGAGGUUCCACCCUCGACACUCGAUGGUAACUCUACAGAGUCGAGCAACAAAAGGGGAAAGUGAUGUGCGGUGUCGGGGCCUGGACGUCAAUCACGUUGAUCGAGUCAUCAAACAUAAAAUGGGGCAACUGGGACAAGGUGGGGGUCACUGAUGGAUCUCUAACCAACCUAUACUAAGCAGUAUAGGAUAAGCAGGUAAGGUAUGAAAGCAGGUAACAAAAAUAGGCUAUGCAUCAGAGUAGGAUCAUACAUAAAGCAUUAGUUGUUCUAAUGCAAGCAUGAGAGGGAAAGAAAUGGGAGAUAUCGAAAUGCUCAAGGAGGGUUUGCUUGCCUGGUUGCUCUGGCAAGGAGGGGGGGUCGUCGUCGACGUAGUCGAUCACAAGGGCAGCAUCGGUCUCGGGGUCUACCGGAGAGAAGAGGGGGAGGAAACAGUAAAUAUAAAGCAAACAUAGCACCACUAAGCAUAACAUGGCAAUAAGAUGUACCGGGUGUGACCUAACGCGGUAGGAGGUGAUACUGGCGAAGGGGGGUAACAUCCGGGAAAGUAUCCCCGGUGUUUCGCGUUUUCGGACAGAUGAACCGGAGGGGGAACGUUGCGUGUUCGCUAUGCUAGGGAUGCGUGGCGGACGAACGGGUUGCGUAUCCGGGUUCGUCUCGUUGUUUUGAGCAACUUUCAUGUACAAAGUUUUUCCAUCCGAGGUACGGUUUAUUUUAUAUUAAUUUUAAAAGUUUUAAAUCAUUUUUAGGAUUUAUUUAAUUAAUUUAAUCAACAUUAUCCAGAACAGUUCACGCUGACGUCAGCAUGACAUCAUGCUGACAUCAGCAGUCAACUAUGCAGUUGACUAGGUCAACUACGUGUGGGCCCCGCAUGUCAUACACUGUUUACACUAAUUAGGGUUUAACUAACCUAAUUACUGCUUAAUUAAUUAACACUAGUUAAUUAGGUUAAUUAAACAUAAUUAAUUAAGUUAAUUAAUCGAUUUAACUAAUUAAUUAGUUAAUAUAUUUUUUAAAGGUUCUUAGGGGUAUGGCCCCCCUAGUUAGUGGCCUAGAGGGCCACCGCGGGGCGGGUGCUGGUGCCCAGCCCGUUUGGGCGCUUGCCUGGGAGACAGGGGCGCCGGCCAGGGGCGAGGCCACGGCGAGGGCGCGGUGGGACGCUGGGCCGGCGUGGGCGACGGCAAGAAGCGGUGGCAGGGGGCGGACCCGAGCGGAGCGGCACCAGCAGGCAGCGCAAGCGGGCAGCAACUAGCGGGGGGCACCGAGGCUUAGCGCGCGGGAGGGGGCAGCCGAGCCGGGUAGCGGCCAAGCGCGGGCGUGGGUGGCGACGCACGAACGCAGGCGCGGGCAUGGUGAGCACGGCCACGGUCAGGAGCACGGGUGACGCGGCCUACGGCCUAUGGCGGCGAAUCGAGGAGGGGGAACAGCCGCGGGAGCUCACAGAGGAGGUCGGGGCGACUCGGGGAGGUGGAGGGGGCGGCGAGGGUUGAGGAGGCCGGCGGGGAGGAGGACGAGGACGGGGCGACGACCGACGACGGCGCUCGGGUCGGGGGUGACGAGGUCGGGGCGGCGAGCGCUAGCAUNNNNNNNNNNNNNNNNNNNNNNNNNNNNNNNNNNNNNNNNNNNNNNNNNNNNNNNNNNNNNNNNNNNNNNNNNNNNNNNNNNNNNNNNNNNNNNNNNNNNNNNNNNNNNNNNNNNNNNNNNNNNNNNNNNNNNNNNNNNNNNNNNNNNNNNNNNNNNNNNNNNNNNNNNNNNNNNNNNNNNNNNNNNNNNNNNNNNNNNNNNNNNNNNNNNNNNNNNNNNNNNNNNNNNNNNNNNNNNNNNNNNNNNNNNNNNNNNNNNNNNNNNNNNNNNNNNNNNNNNNNNNNNNNNNNNNNNNNNNNNNNNNNNNNNNNNNNNNNNNNNNNNNNNNNNNNNAGGCGGCGGGCCGCGGCUGCGGCGGGAUGGAGCAAGCGGCAGGGCGGCGUCGGGGAGGGGCGCUAGGCGGUGCGGGAUCGAGCGAUGCCGCGCAGGAGGAGAGGGGGCGCGGGGUUGAGGUGGUGGGCCGUGGCGGCGGCGGGGCGCCGGAGGCGGUGAUGGUGGCGUCGGGCGGCAGCGACGGAGGUCUCCUCCCUCGAUCCCGAUCCAGUUGGGGGAGAGGGGGAGAUAUUUUUGCGGGGAGAAGUGAGGGUCUGUCGGUGGGGGUCCGGUGGAGUGGGGAGGGGUUAUGGGAGGUGGGUGGCCAGUUGGGCCUGGCCAGGUGGGUUGGGCCGGCUUGGGUAGGCCAAGGCCCAAGGAAGGCAGGGGGCGGUCUCUCUCUCUCUCACCUCUUCUUUUACUUUUUUUUAAAAACAACUUUUCUAUUUUCUUUUAUUUUCAGAAAGCAAAAUAGUUUUAUAAAAACUAAUCUUGCACCUAAAAUACCAUUUUAACUUAGGCCACUGCUAUAAUUAACUUGGCACAAAAUUAAAGUAGUUUAGUAUUUUUACCAAUUAGAAAGGCAAUAAAAUUAUCGACUAGGACACUGUUUUAUUUAGUUUAGGGCAGUGAAACACUUUAUAAAAAUGUUGAUUCACCACCAAUAGUAACCAAUGAUUAUUUGCCACAUGAUAAACAUUUUAGUUUUCAUGUUUGAGCAAUUUAGAAUUUUGACUUUAAUUUGAAAUUGAGAUUUGGGCUGGAAUAGAAUCAAAGUGAGAUUAGCAACAGCAACAAUGAUGACAUGGCACCAUUAACAGGUGAUUACUGCAGCAUGACACUGGGGAUGUUACAAAUCUCCUCCACUACAAGAAAUCUCGUCCCGAGAUUUAAGUGCGGAAGUAAAGAGUAACUUUGGGAGAACUGACCCUUAUAGGGUUAAUUAUCUGGUGAACAAUUCAGGGAAUGUGACAGAAGUAUCUCUCGAGUUGAAACUUAAGAAAACAUCGAGAGCAAAAUAUGAAGGUACAGUAGGAAGUAUCAAGCGAAUGGACAAAUGAUUGAUACCUGAAUAGAGUGUGAGAAGGGGGUUCAGAGCAUCGGGAAUAGAUCAUCUCUCGGAAGGUGGCUCGUGACAACACACAAAGCCAAGAGCAAAUGGUACUUCGGAACAAAGGAUAUACAGGAGAGUCAGGUUCCGAUCCUGUGGAACUGUGGGUUAUGAGCCCACCGUGUGGGUUAAAAGGAGAAAGGGGGCCGAUAGUGAGGCAUGUCGAUAAUAGACUCCCAGUUAUGUUGUCCACAACAUUGGUACCAAGGGCAAGGGAAGAAUCAUGAUAUUACCCAUAAAACAAUGUUUGGAUAAUAGAUCAAGAAAAUAUAGUAUCGUGCUUCAGAUGUUCUUCUUGGAGAUCGGAUUACCACAGACAUGCUCCGAGAUAGCAUUGACAUGGUUUCAAGCAAAGGUCAGACUUUGGAUACACCAAGGAUCCAUCGGAAACAACUUAGAAAAUAAGGCAUACAAUUUUAGCAGUGAAAAGAUGAGGGUAUGGCCGACGGGCUCAGCCACAAUCCAUCAACAUGACAAAAAGGAUGUAUUUCCAAAAUUAUAUGAACAAGUUUGUGUUGGGGGAAGACAAGAAUGUUGUUGGUGCUGACACUAAUCAUCAAGAGGCAAGGAUGGUAUUUCUAGCCAUGAAUUCAAUCGAUAUCCUGGAAGGGCUCAGAAUGUUGAUGAUGAUCACGACACAUUUAUCGAGAGAUUUCAUGAAGAUGUAAUUAAAUGGCGACGACAUCAAGUCAAAGGAAUGAUAAAGCGAAAGGUUAUUGGAACCACGGGUACGACACAAACUCGAAAUCAAGCUUAUUGUUCAAGGCGAAACGAUAUGACGAGGAAAAUCGACGUAAGCUUAGCUUAUCGUCGAAGUUGCUCCGGGCAUAAGGACCAGGUAGCACAGUUAAAAAGUUGACAAGAUAAAAAUUAUAGCCGAUCGAGCUAGGAAUGAUGUGAUGGGGCAUAAAGCUUCCCAGUAUCAAGUACUAGGUGCAAUGCCAAAAGGUAUAUCGGAGUAGAGGUUGGACGGGGGAAAUGAGUUGUAGAGGAUAAGUAAUUUAACUUACCCAGUAAAUGGGAUCAAGGAGGAAAUAUGGUCGGGACCAUAACUGCAAGGGAUCCAAUUUACGAUACCGGAAGAAUAUUCAAUUGAUUAAAUAUCCUUGCAAGAAGCUUUCAUGGUAAGUCCCACACCGUGUCCGUGGGCAUGAACACAAAGGUUCAGAGUCGACUCCCACUUCUACAAUGCAUAUCCUUUCAUUUUACUUCUCGCUCUUGAUGAAGUUGUAGUAUUGAAAUUUUAUCGGACGAAAAGCCACUAGAGUAUAACCCGCAUAACUUUCGAGUUCACACAGAUUAGGGAAGGCAUAGGUUCAACCCAUCGGGGCAUCUUAGGAACAUAUAUCAUAAAUUCCAAGAGUAAAUAACACAAGCUCGGUAGUAGAGCAUGCUUGAGAAAGUGGAGGAUACAACUCACCAAAGGCAUUAUGUAUCCGAGGAAAAGGCUACAAGAUUAAUGUAUAUGAAGGAUGUUGUCGGAUAAAAUCCGAAAAAGGGGGUCUGGUGGUCCACAAGGGAUCCGAUGUGAGUAUCGGUACUCUAUCAAAGGAAGAAGGAAUGCAAGUGCAUCAGAUUAUAGAAACAACUGACUAACUCAAAGCUCAAAUGCAAAGGAAUUAUGAAUUCCAAGACAAAGGAUCAGAAGCAAUGCUCUGAUUAGGGAUGGAUAAGUUGAAUAGCCUUAGGGGUACAAUCGAUGGCAAUAUGAUUGGUUGAGAUCCCGCUCAUGUUCAAAAUGACGUCUGAGCUAGGAAGAUAAUUUUAUAAGGAUCAACUGAUGAUUGCGUGCAUUCGCACACAUAUUGAAUCAAUGGACUCAAAAUGAUAGUGGCAAAGGAUGCCAAUAUGAUUACUAGACUUAUGGGAUUGACCAUAAUGAAAGCAAGCAAGAAUUUCAAGAACCAUAGGUUGCUGAGGAUUUUCGAAAGAUUGAAUAACAUUUCGAAGACUUUUGAGAACACAUGAACAACUGGGGAGAAACAAAUCCUCGGUGAGUGUGAGGAUUAAGUGGUAGGUGUAUUCAGACGACAAGGAACUACAAGGCAGUAAGCACAAAGAUUUCUCGGAGCAAUAGAGAGAAGUUCGAGGUAUCUUGUAAUAACAAGAUCAACUUGGAAUAAAAGUAAGAACGACGGGUGUAAGUAUUUAUCCACAGGGAUAUUUUAGUGGUAGGGAAUUACAAAAGCAACGGGCACAAAGUCUUGAGAGAACAUCGGAGAGUAUCUUCGGAAUCUUCUGUUGUAGCAGGCGAACAUCUGGAAUGAGGGGCUCUCCGGGAGAAAACAUUAUUGAGAACCUAAAGUUAGAUUUAGUAAAACCAUUUUUAACCUGAAUAGGAGAGAGAUCAGAGCCCCAGAGUAUAGACGAGGAAUAAAAGAUCCUAAUACCACCCAAAUGGCGACGUGGGCCCGUAAGGCACACAACCAUGUUAGUAAAAAGUUUUGUAAUGUCUAGACUCGACUUCGGCCAAGGAGUGUGGAAGGGGGAUUCCUACAGGCAGUUGGCUCUGAUACCAACUUGUGAUGCCCUCGAUUCAAUCGUACACUAAUCAUACACGCAAAUGUGUACGAUCAAGAUCAAGGACUCACGGGAAGAUAUCACAACACAACUCUAGACACAAAUUAAAAUAAUACAAGCUUUAUAUUACAAGCCAGGGGCCUUGAGGGCUCGAAUACAUAAGCUCGAAUACACAAGAGUCAGCGGAAGCAACAAUAUCUGAGUACAGACAUAAAUUAGACAAGUGUGCCUUAAGAAGGUUAGCACAAAAGCAACAACGAUCGAAAAGGCAAGGCCUCCUGCCUGGGAGCCUCCUAACUACUCCUGGUCGUCGGCGGUCUUCACGUAGUAGUAGGCAUCCUCCGGGUAGUAGUAGUCAUGAGUGGCGUCGUCUGGCUCCUGGGAUCCGUCAUCUGGUCACAGCAAAGCAACCGUGAGUACUCAUCCAAAGUACUCGCAAGACUUACAUCAGAUCUAAACUAAGUAUGCAUCUGUAUCAAAGGAAUGGGUUGUAUAUGUGGAUUGGGCUGCAGAAAUGCCAGAAUAGAGUGAAGAUCUAGUCCUAUCGAAGACUAGCAUCUUCUGGAAACCACCAUCUUGCAGCAACAAGAGGGAGUAGAGUAGCAUAAAGUAAAGUAGCAGUAGUGUUAUCAACCUCGGCCAGAGAUCCUUUCUCGACUCCCUGCGAGAAAGCAAUCCCAGAGCCAUACUAUCUAGUUAUCAUCUCAUAUCCAAGUCUCAUCACCAUCCAAUUCUCAUCACAAGUAUCCAGUUCUAGUUGUAUCGAUCGGGAUACAACUCCAAGUGUCCGUUACCGUAGGACAGGCUAUCGAUAGAUGUUUUCUUCCCUGCAGGGGUGCACCAACUUACCCACCAUGCUCGAUUAACUCCGGCCGGACACACUUUCCUGGGUCAUGCCCGGCCUCGGCCAAACAAUACGCCGCAACCCGACCUAGGCUAAAUAGAGAGGCCAGCAUGCCGGACUAAACCUAUGCCCCCAGGGGUCAUGGGCCAUCUCCCCGGGAACUCCUGCACGUUGCGUACGCGGCCGGUGAGCAGACCUAGCUACCUCCUUCAACAAGGCAGGUGCUUACGCAGUCCAACCCGGCGCGCGCCGCUCAGUCGCUGACGUCUAUUAAGCUUCGGCUGAUGUAUACGACGCAGAAUGCCCAUACUAUGCCCACGUGAUGGUUAGUGCUAUCAGGCCAGAGGCCCCUCGGAUCAAAUAUCCAAAUCAUAGUGGAUUAGGAACGCGCGGUAACAAGCAGAGACUCACGAAAGAUGUGACCCCGUUGCCCUGUCUCGAGGACUUGCGGCAAGGGCUAGGAAUGCUCGGCCACGCCUCGUAAUUAUCUCGCGGGCACCCUCCAGGUUAACCCGUCUCCACAUCACUCACAAUUAAGCUCGCGCGGGUACCCCUCAGGGUCGACCCGUCUUUAGUAACAUGGCUCAGUGCAAAGUCAUAGUAACCAUAGUAAUUGUGAGUCUAACACCAAGGGGAAAACCCGAGGAAUCACCCCCAGUGAAUUCCACUCGAUGUUAUCAUCAAGGUGAACGUAAGAGGAUCCACCCUCGAGGUUCACAUUUGAGGGGUUGCACGACAGAGCCGUAACGGAAGGGGUUAAGGAGGAAAUCACCCUCGAUGACCAUGACCGGAUAGCUACACUACAGAGAUCUCAUCAGGAGUAAUGUAUGAGGUUCCACCCUCGACACUCGAUGGUAACUCUACAGAGUCGAGCAACAAAAGGGGAAAGUGAUGUGCGGUGUCGGGGCCUGGACGUCGAUCAUGUUGAUCGAGUCAUCAAACAUAAAACGGGGCAACUGGGACAAGGUGGGGGUCACUGAUGGAUCUCUAACCAACCUAUACUAAGCAGUUUAGGAUAAGCAGGUAAGGUAUGAAAGCAGGUAACAAAAAUAGGCUAUGCAUCAGAGUAGGAUCAUACAUAAAGCAUUAGCUAUUCUAAUGCAAGCAUGGGAGGGAAAGAAAUGGGCGAUAUCAAAAUGCUCAAGGAGGGUUUGCUUGCCUGGUUGCUCUGGCAAGGAGGGGGGGUCGUCGUCGACGUAGUCGAUCACAAGGGCAGCAUCGGUCUCGGGGUCUGCCGGAGAGAAGAGGGGGAGGAAACAGUAAAUAUAAAGCAAACAUAGCACCACGAAGCAUAACAUGGCAAUAAGAUGUACCGGGUGUGACCUAACGCGGUAGGAGGUGAUACCGGCGAAGGGGGGUAACAUCCGGGAAAGUAUCCCCAGUGUUUCGCGUUUUCGGACAGAUGAACCGGAGGGGGAAAGUUGCGUGUUCCUAUGCUAGGGAUGCGUGGGGGACGAACGGGCUGUGUAUCCGGGUUCGUGUCGUUGUUCUGAGCAACUUUCAUGUACAAAGUUUUUCCAUCCGAGGUACGGUUUAUUUUAUAUUAAUUUUAAAAGUUUUAAAUCAUUUUUAGGAUUUAUUUAAUUAAUUUAAUCAACAUUAUCCAGAACAGUUCACGCUGACGUCAGCAUGACAUCAUGCUGACAUCAGCAGUCAACUGUGCAGUUGACUAGGUCAACUACAUGUGGGCCCCGCAUGUCAUACACUGUUUACACUAAUUAGGGUUUAACUAACCUAAUUACUGCUUAAUUAAUUAACACUAGUUAAUUAGGUUAAUUAAACAUAAUUAAUUAAGUUAAUUAAUCAAUUUAACUAAUUAAUUAGUUAAUAUAUUUUUAAAAGGUUCUUAGGGGUAUGGGCCCCCCUAGUCAGUGGCCUAGAGGGCCACCGCGGGGCGGGUGCUGGUGCCCAGCCAGUUUGGGCGCUUACCCGGCAGACAGGGGUGCCGGCCAGGGGCGAGGCCACGGCGAGGGCGCGGUGGGACGCCCGGCCGGCGUGGGCGACGGCAAGAAGCGGUGGCAGGGGGCGGACCCGGGCGGAGCGGCACCAGCAGGCAGCGCAAGCGGGCAGCAACUAGCGGGGGCGCCGAGGCUUACCGCGCGGAAGGGGGCAGCCGAGGCGGGUAGCGGCCAAGCGCGGGGUGGGUGGCGACGCAUGAACGCAGGCGCGGGCAUGGUGAGCACGGCCACGGGCAGGAGCACGGGCGACGCGGCCUACGGCCUANNNNNNNNNNNNNNNNNNNNNNNNNNNNNNNNNNNNNNNNNNNNNNNNNNNNNNNNNNNNNNNNNNNNNNNNNNNNNNNNNNNNNNNNNNNNNNNNNNNNNNNNNNNNNNNNNNNNNNNNNNNNNNNNNNNNNNNNNNNNNNNNNNNNNNNNNNNNNNNNNNNNNNNNNNNNNNNNNNNNNNNNNNNNNNNNNNNNNNNNNNNNNNNNNNNNNNNNNNNNNNNNNNNNNNNNNNNNNNNNNNNNNNNNNNNNNNNNNNNNNNNNNNNNNNNNNNNNNNNNNNNNNNNNNNNNNNNNNNNNNNNNNNNNNNNNNNNNNNNNNNNNNNNNNNNNNNNNNNNNNNNNNNNNNNNNNNNNNNNNNNNNNNNNNNNNNNNNNNNGGGGUUGAGGUGGUGGGCCGUGGCGGCGGCGGGGCGCCGGAGGCAGUGAUGGUGGCGUCGGGCGGCAGCGACGGAGGUCUCCUCCCUCGAUCCCGAUUCAGUCGGGGAAGAGGGGGAGAUAUUUUUGCGGGGGGGAGUGGGGGUCUGCCGGUGAGGGUCCGGUGGAGUGGGGAGGGGUUAUGGGAGGUGGGUGGCCAGUUGGGCCUGGCCAGGUGGGUUGGGCCGGCUUGGGUAGGCCAAGGCCCAAGGAAGGCAGGGGGCGCUCUCUCUCUCUCUCACCUCUUCUUUUACUUUAAAAAAACAACUUUUCUGUUUUCUUUUAUUUUCAGAAAGCAAAAUAGUUUAUAAAAACUAAUCUUGCACCUAAAAUACCAUUUUAACUUAGGCCACUGCUAUAAUUAACUUGGCACAAAAUUAAAGUAGUUUAGUAUUUUUACCAAUUAGAAAAGCAAUAAAAUUAUCGACUAGGACACUGUUUUAUUUAGUUUAGGGCUGUGAAACACUUUAUAAAAAUGUUGAUUCACCACCAAUAGUAACCAAUGAUUAUUUGCCACAUGAUAAACAUUUUAGUUUUCAUGUUUGAGCAAUUUAGAAUUUUGACUUUAAUUUGAAAUUGAGAUUUGGGCUGGAAUAGAAUCAAAGUGAGAUUAGCAACAGUAACAAUGAUGACAUGGCACCAUUAACAGGUGAUUACUGUAGCAUGACACUGGGGAUGUUACAACGUUUCCUCAAAGGCCAUAGUGUAUGCCGACUUACUGUAAAAACACCAUUUUUUGUUGGUCCCCAAGCAAGCACAUCAUUGCCUAGCCUUGGUGAAGCCCUUAUUUUCAUAAUUUCAUGUACAUCACUGGGAAGAAAAGCUUCUUGUAGCAAGUUUGCAUUCCAGGAGCAAUUUUCUCUCAAUAGUUGGGAAACCCACCGGUGCCUGCAUGUGCCUUGCACUGAAAUUGGCCUAUAAGAAAAAGGUCUAGGGAUCCAAGCAUCCCUCCAUAUUCGAAUGUUCCAUCUGUUUCCCACUCUCCAAUUCAAACCUUUCUUAAGCCAUAGUGUACUUGGUUUUUGACCAAUGGAAACUUCGUGUAUCGGAUAUAUAAUUUCGUCAAAAAUACUAUGUUUGAAAUAUUAAAAGCAGAGUCUGAGUUUUGUAUUUUUUGUUUGUUUGUUUGAGUUGGAUAGCAAUUUUCAACAUAAAGGAGAGUCUGAGUUUCCAAUUGUUGCUUCAAGCAAAUCAUGUGCCGUCUUCGGCCUUGCGCCGCUCCCGUUGGGGCGACUCGGGGGGCUCCAAACCCUAGCUCACUGUCGGCCCCUCUCCUGAUCUAGCUGCCACCAUGAUGCGCUUGAGCAUCUCGUCGGUCAAACACUAGAUCUAAGAUGGCUAGCUACUAGCAACGUCUUCCCAGUUCUCUUGUCGGAUUUGGGGUCACGGAAUUCAGGUGGUGGUCGGACAGCGGGUGGUGAGGUUCUCGAGAUCGAAGAAACCCUUGGCCGGUGAUGGCGGCCACAACAAUGUCGCGGACGCCGCCCACCUCCUUGGAGGCUUCGUUCAGGUAUCAUAUCCCACCCAUCCUCCCCUGCAUAUAGGUGAAAAACUGUAAAGCUUGAUCCUGCUUGGGUCCGAUAGCGGUGCCACUAUGUCAUUCCCCCAGGAGACGUCAUACUUGGAUUGCACGGGUGGUAGUUUAGUUGGGAUAUGCUGGUGGUGGGUUUGUUGUCUAGCUUCGACUGUGUUAUGUGGCAGUACUGGCAGGCUCUGGGCACCUAUGUUCCUCUCCUUCUGAGGCCAAGAUGCCUGUGGUGCAUCGCCUUCGACCCAGGAUUCCCGCAAGUCCGGUUUCUUCCGCGGGUGGCGUUAUUGACUUAUCUCGUCGUGUCUGUUUGGAUUGUGUUUCCUUCCUACAGUAUGCAUCUUCUAUGUGGCAAUGUCGUAGAUGACAACAUACCUCAGUACGUGGGAUCACAACACUAGAGCUCCUCCCCUAGUAACCUUGUUGUCAAGUGCUCAUUGGGAUUGUAGGGUGAACCACUUCGCAUGUAGACUGUGUUGCAUCCUACUAUCCGAGACCAGAAGGCAUGGCCCUUUUACAUAGUGAAGACGGAUGGCAUUGUGUACAGAUAAUUUUUCUUUUGGGAGUGGACAAGGGCUUACUCCUUUUACAAAUGUGCCCCCUCCCCAUGUUCUUUGUUUCUUCAUUGGUGAUGAUUGCAUUGGUGGACAACAACCUCGACGGAUGAAGCUUAAGGUUUUUUUUUGGUUAUAUUUUAGUAGUUGCUUGUGAUGUCUUCAGUGUAUGCGAUGUUUUGCUUGCACCUUGUAUUUGUUUCUUGGGAUUUAAUGGCCCCAGUUUUCUUUGUUCCAUUCAUUGUAAGUUCUUCAGCGAUGUAUUCGUAGCCGGUGAUGAUUUUGUUAAUUCAAAGUCGGUCCGUCUCAACCCUCAUUCUAAAAAAUUAGCUAAUUCAUGUGUUGGUGAGAAAGUAUGCGGCGAUCCGAUACACGUCAACAAGCAGAAAUUUUUAUGCAAAUGGUAAAACGCCGCCCUUUACAUUGAAUGUUGCACAUAGUAGUUUUUUUACAAUGUUUCAAUCCUCAUAAAGAAAAGCAUCCACUAAGGUAUGUGAAGUUUCAACACAAGGAGAUUAAUUGACCUACUCGCAUGUUUGGUAACUUUUCCGCCAAGGGAGUGGGAGUUUGUACGAGAGAGUUAGUCGAGAGAUUACAUGUGGAAAAUAUUUUUUACUCAUGUUCUCUUGUUCGGCACAUGAUGGGAGUUAGUCCAGGAUUUCCCAUGGGAAGAAAUUGGUUGGAAGUGGCUCCGUCAACUCUCGAUAUUCUUCCUACUUAAACUCAUAUUCACUCCAAUCAAUCAGUGGACUUUUUGUCUCCUCACCCCUCAACUCCUAUUCCUCAUCUCUAACUUACAUCAUGAAAUAGAGUACAAAGUAAUGAAGAAUUUGAGAAAAUUAUAUGCUAGGCAACCAGCCCCAAGAAAAUAAUUGCACUCUCUUUGAACCAGGCCAGGCUCCAUGCCCGAUCGCCUUGGCUCAUCGCGGUUGGUGCCUAUCUAGGCCUUGCUCCUCCUGGCAGACGCUAGGUAUUGUGCCCGCACAGCUGAGCCCGCGGAGACGGACGCGGAAUUGAAGGCAUGGGCCACACGGCAACGGUCCAUGCGGAGGGGAGGAGACAGGUUCAGUCGCUCUGGCUGUGUGUCUAGCAAGCCUGCGCCUACCGAGCCGGAGGAUAUCCUCCUCUGUGGCGCCAUAUAUCGGGCACUGGCAUCGGCGGAAGCGAACACCCUCUGUCGCCGCCGCAAAAAUGGCAAGGCAAUCCGGCUAGGCAUGUAGGAGCCCAGGUGGCUCACCAAGGAUAAAGUAGCCACCAUAGCGAAAGCCGCCCGUCUCACCAAGGAGCAGGCCCGCGCCGCCCGGUGUUUGGUCGGGAUCCGCUCCUCCUCCUCCUCCACGUCCGACGACGGCACCACCGCCGACGACGAAGACUCCUCUCUGGUCGCCGAGGCCUAGGCCAAAGGCUACUACCGCCAUUCCAGUGAGCCUGAGAGGAAGCGCCUGGCGAGGAAAUGGUGGACUCUGGCACCCUCCCUCCGCAUCUAUCUAUCUAUCUAGCUACCGUUAGGCAUUUCGUAUGGAGGUGAUGAACUUACCCAUUUUGUGUAUGCUUAUAUAAACAAAAUAUCCAAUUCCGAUCUCAGGCUCAUUUGCACCAAGUGAACCGUAAAUUCAAAAACAAAUACUAGUAAAAUUAAAAAAACUGUUUUUUGCAUGAAAGAUGUGUUCAGUGCGUGAGGUGUCUGCCAACUUUCAAAACAGUUAGAGAUUUGAGUAGCUCUCAACAAAAAAUGGGUCUGGAAAGUGCACAAACAGUAAACUUUUUCACAAACCUCAAAUCAAAUUUAUCUUUUUUGCAAAGAGCUAUUCAUACAUCCAGAUGCUCUGAAAUUUGGCACCGCACUCAGGCAUCUUUCUCCACAAAAAAAUAUUUAGUAUUUUUAACUCUUUUUUUGUUCACUUCCGGGCUCAAAGCCCAGGAGCCAAAACACCACUCCCUGUAUAAACUUGCUAUUCCCAAUCUAUAUGUAUGCUAUGUUGUGUAGUGUUGAUCAUAUUGCAUGGGUUGUAUGGACGUGGGGUUUUGAAUACGAGGAGAGUGACUACAGACGCGGAGAAAUGAGUAGUGAACAUGCGCUGUCCACGGAUGUAAGGGGUCAGCUUUCCGGUUGUAGAUGCUCUGAUCUGGCCUGUUAUGAUUGCUUUAGUCAUUUACUUCUUUCUUCCGAGAAAAACGAUUGCUCGUUGCGAUAAAUGGGAUGAACAUCAAUUGAAAAAAAGCAACCCACAGAGGUAUAGGAUUUACAAAUCACAUCUCAGUUGGUAAGACAAAGUAUGUACAGCCCAACAAACAGCCAUUGCAGCCCAGUCUGACUCAGCAAGCAAGCAAUUGGACAACUGGACGGCGUCACGUGUGCUGCUUGGAGUACUUAUGUCGAGUUUAAAACUCUGGAUUGAAUCUUUUGAGGGGAGGAGGCAGUCCAGUCGCUCCGGUUGUGUGUCUAGCAAGUCUACGCCUGAUGAGCCAGAGGAUAGCCUCCUCCGCGACGCCAUCUAUCAGGCAUUGACAUCGGCGGAGACGGACAUUCACUACCGUCGCCACAAAAAUGACAAGGCGAUCUGACUUGGCAUGUAGGAGCCCGAGCAGCUUGCCAAGGAGAAAGUGGUUGCCACGGUGAAAGCCGCCCGCCUCACCAAGGAGCAGGCCCAUGCUGCCCGAUGUGUGGCCGAGAUCUGCUCCUCCGCCUCCUCCUCGUCCGACGACGGCACCACCAUCGACGACGAAUACUCCCCUCUGGUCGCCACGGCCUACGCCAAAGACUACUACGUACCGCCAUUCUGGUGAGCUCGAGAUGAAGCGCCUAGCGAGGAAAUGGUGAGCUGUCGCCCUCCCUCGGCAUCUAUCUAUCUAUAUAUCUGGCUACCGUUAGGCAUUACGUAUGCAGAUGGUGAACUUGCCACAUUUUGUGUAUGCAUGUAUAAACCAAAUAUCCAAUUACAAGCCCGAGCUCAUCUGCACCCAAUGAACAAUAAAUUCAGAAAACAAUACUAGCAAAAUUAAAAAAAACAAUUUUUUGCAUGAAAGAUGUGUUCAAUGAGUGAGGUGUGUGCCAAAUCUCAAAGCAUUUACACAUCUGAGCAGCUCUCGGUAAAAAAAGUGAGUCCAAACAGUGCACAAACAGUAAACUUUUUCACAGACCUCCGAUCUAUCUUUUUUACCGAGAGCUACUCAGAAAUCCAAAUGCUCUGAAAUUUGGCACGGGUAUCACGCACUCGGGCAUAUUUCUCUAAAAAAAGAUUUUUAAAAUUUUAUUUAGCAUUUUAACAAAAGAAAACAAAUGUUCACUCCCGCGCUCAGAGCCCAGGAGGCAAAAUGCCGCUCCCUGUAUAAACAUACUAUCCCCGGUCUAUAUGUAUGCUACGUUGCGUAGUGUUGAUCAUCUUGCAUGGGUUGUAUGGAUUUGGCGUUUUGGACAUGAGGAGGGCGGCUGCGGCCGCGGAGAAAUGAGUAGUGAACAUGUGCUGUCCACAUAUGUAAGGGGUCAUCUUUCCGGCCGUAGAUGCUCUCAUGUGGCUUAUUUUGAUUGCUUUCGUCAUUAUUAUUAUUUUUGAGGGUUGAUUGCUUUCGUCAUUAUUACUUCUUUCUUCCGAGAAAAACGAUUGCUUACUGUAAAAAAUGGGAUGAACAUCAAUUAGAAAAAGCCAUGGAGGUACUACAGGAUUUACAAAUCACAUCUCAGUUGGUCAAGACAAAGUACAGCCCAACAAACAGCCAUUGCAGGCCAGUCUGACUCAGCAAGAAAGCAAUUGGACAACUGGACUGCGCCACGUGCGCUGGUUGCAGUACUUAGAUCGAGUUUAAAAACUCUGGACUGAAUCUCUUGAUACACGAGAUUGACUUGAGCAUUGUUAAUUAAUUCCUGGGAUCAAACCAUCGCCAGUAAUUUAAUGCGUGGAACAAUUUACAUUGUACUACGAUCUAAUCUGGUCUACUCAGCCCCUAAGCAGCAAUCGAUCACGGCGACUCGUCGCCGUCGGUGACGAGCCGCCGGUACCCCCGCGGCGGCCGGGAGAAGAGCGGUAAGCAGCCGUUGGUACUCCGCUGCUCGCCCAUGGAGCUGAAGCACGCGCGCAGAUCGUCCACCAGCCACUUCCUGGCGCCGCGGAACAGCCCCGGGCGACGCCGCCGCCUCUGCCGCUCCUGCUCGUCCUCCCGGAGGCGGAGCUCCACCGUGUCGCGCAACGAGGCGUCGCGCGGGCAGGCCCUCACGGCCCGUGCCGCCACGGCGCGCGCGCGCCGGGCGUCCCCGUGGGCGAGCUCGAACGCGAGGUACGCGCACCAGUAGUCGCCGUACGCGUCGGCGGUGGCGCCGCCGUCCUCGCUGCGGAGGCCGCCGUCCUUGGCGCAGACGGCGCCCCACUCCUCGAAGAGCCACCGGGCGACGCCGACGCCGCCGCCCUCCUUCUCCAUGGCGAUCCACGUCCUGUAGACGGACGCGUAGUCCUUGACGCAGCAGAGGGCGCCGCGGAGCAGCAGGCGCGCCUCCUUCAUGUCGCCGUCCACCCUGCGCAUCUCCCGCGCCGUCUCGCACCACCGCAGCGCCUGGCCGCGCGCGGGCCUGGUGGCGUCCAGGAACUCGUAGACGCUCCGGCGCCGCUGCCGCUGGGCCUCGCCGAGCACGGCCAUCCCCAUCUCGUGGCCGAACGGAACCGGGCCGGAGAGCCGCAGCUGCGCCCGCCCUGGAGCACUCGUGGUCAAUGUCUAGCUAGCGAUUAGGGCACUGAGUUCGUGAGACGAGCAGAGCGAGGGCGGCAAUUUGUAAGUGGCAUCUGGUGGAAGCCGUGCUACACGCGAUGCGGUUGGUUAUCUGACUCCAAUCCGUCUUCGGAGAGAGAGAGAGAGAGAGAUAGACCAUGCUAAUACUUCGCUCGUGCCAUCAUUCCACAUAACGGAUUGCCGCGCGCGAACUUGCCGAAUUCGUUAGCAUGUCUGGCGAUGGCAGUACCUUUUUUUUUAACUUCGAAUCUAUUCAUCAUCAAUCAAUCAUGAUAGUAGAACGAAUAACAAAAAUAAUAAAAAUUACAUCCAGAUUAAUAGACCACCUAGCGACGACUAACAAGAACUAACGAAUUGCUGCCGUUAUCGCCCCUGCCGGGCAAAAUUUGUUACCGAUGGCACUGCUGACGUGUUUGGUUGGCCAUGCAUUUUGUCGCUUUGCGUACUUGUACCAGUUAGGCCUGCUUGAGCAAAUACAUGCAAAAAACCAACAUCUGAAUGUUGUUUGGUUGCGUGCAUACCCCCAGCCUUGCUGCCUAUCAGCGAUCGCCAACCCCGAUGUCGACGCAGGACGACCCGGCCUAGUACAAUGAAUACAUGCAGGACAUCAUUUGUGAGGGUGGCCAAGCGUGCGAUGCCAACAAGACCCAAAGUCAAGACGGUCGCGACCAGUUGACUGAAGGGCAAGAAGACCCAAAUGACCACGACAAAGAAGACACCGACAGCCACAACCAAGGGCAAGAAGACGGUGUGGACAUCUAGGAUGAGCCAUUGUUCCACGAUGAGCUCUCCCAACAAGUAAAUGCACAAAGGAGGUGGCAAAGCAUCCGGACAGAAGGAUACACCAAGGAUGAGAACAAGUUGAUUUGAAAAGGUUGGGUAGAAAUUGGACAAGAUCCCAAGACCGACGCCAAGAAAAAUGGCACAACGUUUUGGACGAUGCUCCAUACAUACUUUCAUGAACGUAGAAAGUUUGAGCCUUACACAUUUAAGAGUAACAGUGGUGAGGUGUCAAACCAAAAAAAGGUGGGGCUUCAUCCAAUUGGUCCAACAAGUUUUGUGCCACCCUUCAGAAUAUCACUGGUCGUCCCGUGAGUGGCCUAGGCAUCAAAAAUAUGGUAUGCAAUUCCUUCCCCUUGUUCAUAUGUGUGUAUCUUGUUGGUUGAUGCUUUCAUCUCCAUUGCAUAUGAAUGCAUAUUGUUGUUUUCAUCUUCAUUUGUAGGGAUUCCAAUCUUUGGAAACUUUUAAGGCCAACGUGGGAACAAGAUAUUCACUUUGACCCAUUGUUGAACGAUGAUUUGUGAGUGUCAAAAGUUCAAGAAGCAAUAUGCCGCUCAAAAGAAAGGUGGGGCCGAUGGUAGUCGCUGAGCCAAGUGAAGGUGAGAAGCGGCCGAGGGGGGAGGCCAACUCCAAGUUGGAUGACAAGUGUGAUGCUUAGACACUCGCUUUACAAGAAAUUUUGAAGGGGUUCAUGACCCAAAAGAAAGCGAGGUUGGAGAGGAAGCGCCAAGAGAAAGAGGAGCAAAUGAAGACCUACUUCCACAUACAAAAGAAAAAAGCUUGAGGUCGAGGAGAGCUAUGUCCGAACAAAAGGAAGCAAGUUGAAACUCGAUCUAAUCUCAAAGAAAGUCAAGAUUAUGUCGGCCGACUUGAGCAAGGCGUCCCAUUAAACUCGACCAAGGUGUCCCAAGAAAGAGGAUUUGGUUCGAGAAGAAGCAAAAGAAGUUGCUCCAGAUAUAUGCAUGAACUAUGGCCGAGACGUGAUUAUUUUGUAUGCUGGCAUACCAGCAUGAACUACGUUCGAGAUGCAUGAACUAUGGCCGAGAGGUGAUUUUUUGUAGACUGGCAUGUAUGCCGGCCGCUGACACGUAAGCCGGUAUGAAUUAUGGCCGAGAGUCCAAAACAAAUCUUGAAGUUGUAGACGAAAGCUAAAUCAAACCCUGAACUUCGAAUCCCGGAAAUUGGCACGCUGAACUUGUAAUCCUGGUCUAUUUUGGACCCUAGAUCUGUUUGGUACACUGGGAAUACUACAAUCCCGAUCGGGAUUACCUGGAACUCUCACGGACAAGAAUUUGGGCCAGCCCACUAAAACACAGCAUGCAUUCGUGAAGUUUAAAAAAUGUUCUCAUAUUUCUAAAAUUGUUCAAAAGUUAAAAAAUGGUCCUACUUUCUAUUUUCAGCACAAAUUCAAUUCCUUUUGUGCUUUUUAAAAAAAUGGAAAUUUGAAAUUCUAUUCGCACUUUUAAAAACUGUUCAUGAUUUCUAAAAUAUCACGUUUGUCAAAAAAUGUUCAGAAUUCCAACAGUUUUUCAUAUGCUAUGAAAUUGAUUCGGAUUUUCAAAAAUUCAGAGUUUCAAAAAAUGUGUUUGAAAAAAGAGUGUUCGUGUAGUUUUAUAAAAUGUUUAUUGUAAUGAAGAAAAUGUAAAACAUGUAUUUGGAAAAAUAUUACCAUGUAUUCAAAAAAGUUUUGAAAACAUGUAAUUAGAAAAUGUACAUAAUGUAUUUGGGAAUAUUAAAAGUUUAUCAAAAAAUAUUUAAUGUGUGCAUUAAAAUGUACAUUGGGUACUCACAAAAUUAGACAUGUGUAAAAAAGAAAAAAGAAAAGAAAAACCAAAGCAGCGCGCGAGCGACUAUGCUAAUGGGCCAGCCCAAUUCAGCAAAUACCGGCUAAGUCCUCUCAAGGUUCAAAAUAGACCAGGAUUAGAGAGUUUGGUCUGCUAACUACAGGGAUUGAGAGUUUGGGAUUUAAUUUAGCUUUUGCCUAUAAAUUCAAGGUUUAUUUUGGAUUAUUUUUUCCUUUUUCGAUUGGCAUGUAUAUUGGCCGUGGGGGCGUAUGUCGGCAUGAACUAUGGCCAAGAGGCGUUUGUUUCAAGCUUUUAUUUGUGCAAAAUAUGUUUAUUGAACAAUUCAGCCAGAUGGACCAAAUGGGUCUGCCUGUUGGAUGCACCAACCAGAUUUGCACUUUAACCCACCCAAACAAACAAAAAAAGGAUUAAAUCUGCGUCCGUUUAGAUAUCUCCUGCCGAAUACAUAGGCUUGCACCGAGAAUCUCCCCAUCUUUGACGCCGGCAGCCAAUUAGGGUGUGUUUGGUUGCCUGUAUAGGCCUCGAUCAAAUCUGCGUGGGAAGUGAUCAGCCUGUUUGGUAGCCCGCAUACAUUAUUGGGCCUGCAUCGCACACUUCUUAAAGCAUCUUUGGGCCUGGCUCACUGGAAACGCACGAACCGGCAGUUUCUUCAGGGUCAGGCCCGAGCGGUGCACGUGGGCGGCGGCGGCUGCACGCGCACGGCCACGCUCGAGAAGCUGCGUUGCUUCCCGAAGCGCUGGCAGUUAUUAGCCUCACUGCCCCUCACCGCUCCCUCUCCCCACUCUUCCCCACUCUCCCAACUCUCACCGGCGGCGACAGAUCGGAGCAGAGGAAGAAGACCACCGGACUCCAUCACCGGCGGCGGCGGAUCAGAGCAGAGGAAAAAGAGCACCGGACUCCAUCAAUGGCGGUAAGCACUUCUCUCUCUUCGACAUGCACGCUAGAUUCGAUCCACGGCGGAGGGAAUGGGGAAUUGUAACACCCUGAGAAUCAUGCUAUAGUAAUCUCAUGCCUAAUGGUGCCAAGUCAUCACAAUUAUUUUAUUUUUAUUAAUCACUCUGUUUCAAUCCGACCUCAAAUUCAAAUUUAUAAAAGACAAGUUAAAUUAUUAUUCCUUCGAACUGUAAAACAAAAAUGUUCGACGAGUUGCAAAAUUUCACUAACUAAUUGACAUGAAUAGACCAACAUUAUUUGAAGUAAUUAAAUGCCCUUAACCUAAUUAAAACAGUGCCAAAAACAACAUUUAAUAUUUUUCUAAUUUAUGAAAAAUUCAAACUAAUUCCAAACUUUUUGUGCAGUCCAGGAAUAGUAUCUAGUAUUAUUGGGCAAAGUUCCAAAAUUAACAAAUUCAUUUGAUCACUAAACUAUUUAGAAACAAUAGCUACUUAUUAUUUUAGCAAUCGAAAAGAAGAAAGAUUCCUGUGCACUUUGGCCCAUUGUGAAUAGUACAAGCCCAGCCCAUCUCUCCUUUCCUUCAAUCUCUGUACAGGAGGGCAUGGCGUGGCGGCCAUCCACCCCACCGAGGCCGCCGAUGCCGCCGUGUCCGCCAUCCCACGGGUCCCCGAGGUGUAUAAAGCCACCCCCGACGCAGUGGACAAACCCUAACAUGCCACAUCCCUCUCGCUCGUCCUCCUCUCUUUAUUUAGAUUGUGUUCGAGCCGUUGUCGCCGCGCCAUCACCGUCGUCGCGUCAACUGACCUCCCCGGCGCCCGAGAGGAUGUCUAGGAGCUGCGUGUGCUACGUCUACAUCGACUCCGAGGAGCAAAUCGUACAGGGGAUCACCACCGCACCGGGAUCGAGUUGUUCCCCUUCUCUGCACCGUCGACGAUCCGCUUCGAAUACUACGGCUCCGGUGCCUCUCCCCGCUCCCCCGACCAUCUCCUCGAGUUCUCUGUGAGGCCUACUUCCUCACUGCCUCUUCCCGAGCUCGGUUUCGAGCUCGAGCGUGUUUUUUCCAUUGCAACAGUAGCUCGUCGCCAUCGCCGUGCUUGCUACCGCUGCUGUGUUGCUCCUCCCGCUCACUCGAACACACCAGCGCGCUCGUGGCCUUGCGUAGAUACCGCCUGGGCCCGUAGAUCACUCGAUGCCCUCGCGUGCGUUUGAAUUCGUCGAGCGAUGCCACUGCCUUCGCUCGGCCAUUGCCGCAAAUGCCGCUGCAGGCCACUCCCGCUGUUGCUUACUUCUGUUGCUGCCACCGCUGUCUCUCGCUGCUACUCCCCUGCCGAGUCGCGCGCGCCUUGCCUCCGCCCACACCCAUGGCCGCCGUCGCCACGGGCACUCCCCUGCAGCCGCCUCGUUCACGCGCCUCCUCCCGCGUCCAUCGUCGAUGCUCGCCGGCACUUUCCUCGCGCGCCCGCCGAGGCUCUGCAGCCCGGCCCCGCCUAGAGCGCGUGUGCCCACCUCGGACCCCGCGGUUGCCCGCCUCUGCGCCCGCACCAUCAUCGUUGCCACUGCCGCCGAGUAUUGCUGCAGCCGCCACGCCCUGCCCACGCGCGACCCACCACCGUCGCACUCACCGCGCCCCGCUGCUGCUCGGGCCGCCCCGCUCACCUAGCGGACGCGCCCCCGCUAUCCCCACCGCCGGCCGCNNNNNNNNNNNNNNNNNNNNNNNNNNNNNNNNNNNNNNNNNNNNNNNNNNNNNNNNNNNNNNNNNNNNNNNNNNNNNNNNNNNNNNNNNNNNNNNNNNNNNNNNNNNNNNNNNNNNNNNNNNNNNNNNNNNNNNNNNNNNNNNNNNNNNNNNNNNNNNNNNNNNNNNNNNNNNNNNNNNNNNNNNNNNNNNNNNNNNNNNNNNNNNNNNNNNNNNNNNNNNNNNNNNNNNNNNNNNNNNNNNNNNNNNNNNNNNNNNNNNNNNNNNNNNNNNNNNNNNNNNNNNNNNNNNNNNNNNNNNNNNNNNNNNNNNNNNNNNNNNNNNNNNNNNNNNNNNNNNNNNNNNNNNNNNNNNNNNNNNNNNNNNNNNNNNNNNNNNNNNNNNNNNNCACGUGGGGCCCCACGCCCCCUAUUAAAGUAAAAAAUAGACAAAUUAGUUUAAUUAAUUAAUUAAUUAACUUAAUUAAUUUGUCUAAUUACCUAAUUGAUUAAUUAGUUAACACUAAUAGAAACUGACAUGUGGGUCCCCUGCCUAGUUGACCAGUCAACAGGUCAAUAGUUGACCUGGUCAACGGGGCCCACUACCAGCCUCUGGUGGCCUUGUUGUGUUCACUCUGCUGGGUGCACAUAGCAAUUUCACCUUUUAAUUUGAAUUAGAAAUAAUUUCAGAAAAUUGUUUAAAUCUUUGAAAAAUCAUAUAAAAUAAUCCGUAACUCGGAUGAAAAAGUUUUAUACAUGAAAGUUGCUCAAAUCGGCGAGACGAAUCCGAAUAUGUGGUUCGUUCGUUCGCCACACGUCCCUAGCAUAGCGAACCUGAAACCACCCCCCUCCGUUUCGUUUGUCCAAAAAUGCCAAACUUCGGGAAAGCAUUCCCGAAUGUUAUCCCCCUUCGCCGGUAGCGUGUACCAUCGCGUUAGAACACGUCUAGCUUUGCUUGUUCUCCUGUUAUGCACUUGCUUACUCUGUAUUUACUGUUUCUUCCCCCUCUUCUCUCCGGUAGACCCCGAGACCACUGCUGAGGCCCCAGUGAUCGACUACAUCGAUGACGACCCCUCUUUCUUGCCAGAGCAACCAGGCAAGCCCCUCCCUUGAUCACCAGAUAUCGCCUACUCUUCUCUCUACUGCUUGCAUUAGAGUAGUGUAGCAUGUUACUGCUUUCCGUUAAUCCUAUUCUGAUGCAUAGUCUGUCAUUGUUGCUACAACUGUUGAUACCUUACCUGCAAUCCUAAAUGCUUAGUAUAGGAUGCUAGAUUAUCAUCAGUGGCCCUACAUUCUUGUCAAUCUGUCAUGCUAUAAUAUCGCGUCAUGAUUACGUCGGGUGUUGAUCACGGGUAAAUAUAUACUAUAUAUACAUGCUAUACAGGUGGUGACUAAAGUCGGGUCGGCUCAUUGAGUACCCGCAAGUGAUUCUGAUGUGGGGGCUGAAGGGGCAGGUGGUUCCAUCCAGGUAGUGGUGGGCCUGGGUUUCCGAUGGCCCCCGACUAUUGCUUUGUGGUGGAGCGACAGGGUAGGUUGAGACCACCUAGGAGAGAGGUGGGCCUGGGCCUGGUCGGCGUCCGCAGAUACAUCAAUUAACACGCUUAAUGAGAUCUUGGUAUUUGAUCUGAGUCUGGCUACUGGCCUAUACACACUAACCAACUACGUGGGAACAGUUAUGGGCAUUCGGCGUCGUGGUAUCAGUUGAAGCCUUUGUGACGUCAGCGACUGAGCGACGCGCGCUGGGUUGGACUGGAACGCCUGCUCUUGUAUAAGGGAGGCUAGGUCUGCUGACCGGCCGCGUACGCAACGUGCAGGUGUGCAAUGGGCGAUGGGCCCAGACCCCUGCGCCGUAGGAUUUAGACCGGCGUGCUGACCUCUCUGUUGUGCCUAGGUAGGGCUGCGACGUGUUGAUCUUCCGAGGCCGGGCAUGACCUAGACAAGUGUGUCCGGACAAAGGGGAUCGAGCGUGUUGGGAAAUGUGGUGCACCCCUGCAGGGAAGUUAAUCUAUUCGAAUAGCCGUGAUCUUCGGUAACAGGACGACUUGGAGUUGUACCUUGACCUUAUGACAACUAGAACCGGUUACUUAAUAAAACACACCCUUUCAAGUGCCAGAUACAACUCGAUGAUCGCUCUCUAACAGGGCGACGAGGAGAGGAUCGCCGGGUAGGAUUAUGCUAUGCGAUGAUACUUGGUGAACUUACCAUCUACUCUCUUCUACAUGUUGCAACAGGGAGGUGGCCAGAAGCGUAGCCUUCGAUAGGACUAGCUAUCCCCCUCUUAUUCCGGUAUUCUGCAGUUCAGUCCACAUAUGAUACCUCUUUUCCAUUUGAUACCAAUGCAUACAUAUGUAGUGUAGCUCCUUGCUUGCGAGUACUUUGGAUGAGUACUCACGGUUGCUUUGCUUCCCCCUUUCUAUACCCGAUUGCUGCGACCAGACGAUGGAGCCCAGGAGCCAGACGCCACCGUCGAUGACGACUCCUACUACACUGGAGGUGCCUACUACUACGUGCAGGCCGUUGACGACGACCAGGAGUAGUUUAGGAGGAUCCCAGGCAGGAGGCCUGCGCCUCUUUCAAUCUGUAUCCCAGUUUGUGCUAGCCUUCUUAAGGCAAACUUGUUUAACUUAUGUUUGUACUCAGAUAUUGUUGCUUCCGCUGACUCGUCUAUGAUCGAGCUCUUGUAUUCGAGCCCUCGAGGCCCCUGGCUUGUAAUAUGAUGCUUGUAUGACUUAUUUUAUUUAUAGAUUUGUGUUGUGAUAUCUUCCCGUGAGUCCCUGAUCUUGAUCGUACACGUUUGCGUGUAUGAUUAGUGUACGGUCAAACCGGGGGUGUCACAGGAAUAGAGGUAGAUAAGCAUAGGGGUAGUUCAUACUAGUUCAUAGCAGUUCAUACGAGUUCAUACAUGCAAGAUCGGAAUGCAGAAGGGGGAUUGGGGGAUUGGGGAUAGGGGGUACACAACGGAAACUAGCUGACCGCGGCGGCCGUCACCGGCGUGCGGAGCGGCUAGUCGAGCCGCUGGCCUUCAUCUUCUUCUUCAUCGCCGUGCGAACCGACGGGUCGUCGUCGUCGUCCUCGAUGGAGUCGAGGUCGAUCUGCCAGGUAGGACGGUCUGGCUCCGGCGCCCUCGCUGGCAUGUGCACCGCUUCUUCUUCCUCCUCCUUAGACUCCCCAGCGAUGACCGCCGGCGGCGCGAUAGCCAUCUUCUAGUACACUGCGGCACGGCGGUCAUUAGGAGCCCAGUAGGUCUUGUACUUGCACCACUUCUUCCUCUGUUUAGUGUCAUCGAAGACGGCCUGAUUCAUGGCCCAGCGAAUGAUGUCAACUGUCAUCGCGCCCUUUGCUGGGUCAAGAAUCAGCGUCUUCAGCUCUUCUUUAGUGGCCUUCAUGAGCACUGCAUUAGAUUCGUUCUGCAUGUCCGGCAUGGAGCCAAAGUUCGAGCACACCUCCAUGGUGCUCUCGAACUUGGUGCAAUCACCAGCCGACCACCCGAGGAAGAAGGCCCUCCAGCCAAUACCGCAAGGGAAGGGGUUGGAGCUGGAGCUGGAGCUAGAGCUCAUGGCGAUGGGGAGGAGGAAGGUUGACAGUGAGAUAAGACAGGGGGUGGGUAAGUAGUGGUGGGCAGGGUGAGUAAAUAUAGGGGGGAUGCAGAGGAGGAAAAGAGUGAUAGUCAUGCUGUUCUAACUACAUGCUUUUCAAUUAGCCAUGAACUCUGUGUUGUGCUUGACUCCAUGAAUUGUGUGCGGAUCAAGGAGAGUAAUGAGAUGGACACAGAGGUGCUCCCGGCCCUUGACAACAAAGGCAAGCAGCCCCUUCACCAAAUGCCCGAUGAGGUUGUGUUGCCGCCCACCGCCGAGGAAGACCCGAAGACGCCUGAGGGUGGCGACGACGAGGGCAUGGAGGUGCCCCCCAGCAACAAGCGUCGCAAAUAUGACCACUAUCAUUAGGAGGAUGACCCAACUCACUUCUGUAAGGUCAUCCUUGCACCGAAGCUUGAGUGCAUCCCCAUGCCCCUGGACUUCACCAAGCACUUCAUCGCGGUGCCGACGGAGUUCAAGCUCAGGAACAACACCGGCUGCUCCUGGAAGGUGACGGUCAAGCUGAUGAACGGCAGGGUGACCCUAGAUCAGGGUUGGGCCACCUACGCAGCCGUUCAUCAGAUUAAGAUCGGCUACAUGGUGACGUUCAAGCUCCUCACUCCCGACACCCUCAAGGUCAUCAUCUUCGACAAGGAUGGCAUUGAGGUCGUCAACAAGUGCGGGAAGCACGACGAAGCCUUUGCCGCCAAGGAGUAGGGCCGGGCCACCUCUUUCCAGCGUACUAUCAAGUCUGCUAUGAAGUGUGGUACUGCUUAUAUCUAAAGUAUGCUAGUUGAUGCUCUGUUUAUACUCUAUUGUGCUUAUGAUGUGUGCUGCCGAAGUGUGAUGGUAACCUCACCAACUAGCCAAAGAGGUUACCACACAUCAGGCGUUGCAUACAACCAAACAACAUGCUUUGGGUUUGUCCACUAACAUGCAGGCAACCAAACACCAGACAAUGUGGUUCUGCCCAUGCAAGCAAGAGGCCAUGAAGGCAACCAAACAACAUGCAGAUGGUGCAUUUGAGGCUAUAUUUGCAUAGCCAGGUUGGGUGGAGAAAUGUAUGCAAUGCGGGUACUGUAGCGCAGGGCAACCAAACAUGCCCUUAGUGUACCGGCAUGCAUAUAGGUUGUGCUUGUGUUUGUAUGAGAAAAGAGCUAGUAAAGUCGUAGCAGAGCUUCCAAAAAUGAAAAUCUCUGAGCGAAGAUUACCCAGCAGAUGUCUGACGGCAAGCCUCAAGAAAAUCUGAUAAAAGCCUACCAAAAUUAACUGUGCAAGGCUUUGUUGCUCAUAUUUUGACUAGGGAGUAGCCAGAAAGUAGGCAAAUAACCACAAUGGCACAACAGUUUGGCAAUUAUUCAAACACGGGCCAAAUUCUUGUGCAACACCCAAAGAUCGGUACGAUUAACUUGGAGAAGAACUAAAUAGGAAAAAGACGCAUCCAAACGCCGAGCCAUCGAUGCUGGAGAAGACGCAUCCAAACACCGUGAUGCUACAACCGGCACCUGUCGAUGCUGGAACGGCGGCCACAACUUGCUGCAACCGGCAAUCAAAAGAUGCUGGGACGACGGCCACAAGCUGCUGCAAUCGGCAAUCAAAAGAUGCAACCGUGGUUUCAAUGAACUGGAAUCGGCAUCAGCCACCAGAAAGCUGCGACUGGGGUGAAGAUUUGCUGGGAACAGGGGCAACUCAAGGAUGGGGAGCGAUGAGGCGUGGGGAUUUUUUGUUUCAAGCGACGCGUGGGGAUUUUCCAACGGUUACUACUUACAGCGGGGAGGCGACCGGCGCAAGGCUCGGGCCGGACGGCCGGCGCCUAGCAGUGCCCAACUAAAUGCACCCGAAAUGACUACGCGUGCCCCAGUGCCAAUACUACGGUAGGUAGCCACACAACUUUCUCUGGUUUAUCCAUUCCCAGGAAUCAAUCCAACAAAUCUUAUCAUACCAUCAUAUCAAUCGCACAAAGCGUAUUGCCAUAUCCCACACCAAUUAUGUUGCUACUAUACCAGUAAGUACUUGAUGUCCAGCAUGGAUACUAGUGGAGAGGAACCAUUUCCUGAUAGCACACGACGGUUGAACAAGUCACGGAGCCCUCAUC